rnacentral:RNase_P_RNA from 1 species
GAGCCCCGACGGCUCGUCGCUGACACCUCUUGAGGGUGUUUGAGGAAAGUCCGGGCAACACAGAGCACCAUAUUUCCUAACGGGAAGCUAUCGGACGACGGUAGAGACAACGUGACAGAAAACAACCGCCCAUACGGGUAAGGGUGAAAAGGCGGGGUAAGAGCCCACCGGGCGCUAUAGUGAUAUAGCGCGCCGCACGUCUUAUGGGUUGCAAGGUCAAGUAUACCGGCAUUCAAGGGCUGCUCGUCCAUUGCCGGGGGGUAGACUGCUAUAGUGACCGUGGCGACACGGCACACAGAUAAAUGACGGGCCGGCAUGACAUCUCAUCACUCAUACGAGCCGAUGACAGUACCAUGCCGACAUAACCCGGCUUACAGUCGGGGCCACCCC